rnacentral:misc_RNA from 1 species
AUAAACAUUCUAAGCCUACAUCCUGGAAUUGAAAGAAAAGAAGUAUCAGAGCCAUCACAGCGUAUUUCAUACCCCAGAAGAAUUUGAAAGUAAAAGACAAAAAAUGAGCUUAUUGUUGUUAGAAGCAAAUAAUCUAACAGUUCUAGCCCUAGGAGAAGUGUCAUUCAAUGACACACGUGCAUUAUGAUCCUAGCAAACAAAUGGCACAUAAUAAAAAUAUAACUCAUAGCCCAAUAUUCUAAACUAUGUAUCCUUUGCUUCAACUUUAGGGGCAGAUUAAAAUCCUAGAAAAGAGUGUUGCUCUUUUCUCCCCAGUAAGAGUUUAGAUAAGUGCUUCCACUAUUUAUUAACCAUUUUCAGAAUUGAAAGUUUUUAAUAGGAUGGGAAAUUUAGAAACUUCAAUGAUGAGCCUAGAAAUCUCAAAGUUACAAUGAAACAAGUUAAACUGCUGAAUGGUUAUGAAUACCAAAAUGAAUGACACAAACACAAGCAUUCCAAGCAGUAGUAAUUGAAGCUAUUAUCAAAUUCAAGAAACAAUAGGCUCUCUCAUCUCUAAAUUAAAUACAAAUAACAUUUAUCUCCUGAAAAUUUUAUUAUAACUUCUCAAAGCAAAUUUUUAAAGGAGAAAAAGAAAUCAUGAAUAAAGCAACUAGGAGAAUAAGGUUAUCCUCCUCUGCAAUAUAAUAAAGAGCGAUUAGCGAAAGGAAACAAACAGCAUAGCUAAAAUUUCUGCACUAAAAGCCAAGAAAACAA